rnacentral:rRNA from 1 species
GUAGGGAAUCUUCCGCAAUGGACGAAAGUCUGACGGAGCAACGCCGCGUGAGUGAUGAAGGUUUUCGGAUCGUAAAACUCUGUUGUCAGGGAAGAACAAGUACGAUAGUAACUGAUCGUACCUUGACGGUACCUGACCAGAAAGCCACGGCUAACUACGUGCCAGCAGCCGCGGUAAUACGUAGGUGGCAAGCGUUGUCCGGAAUUAUUGGGCGUAAAGCGCUCGCAGGCGGUUCUUUAAGUCUGAUGUGAAAUCUUGCGGCUCAACCGCAAACGUGCAUUGGAAACUGGAGGACUUGAGUGCAGAAGAGGAGAGUGGAAUUCCACGUGUAGCGGUGAAAUGCGUAGAGAUGUGGAGGAACACCAGUGGCGAAGGCGACUCUCUGGUCUGUAACUGACGCUGAGGAGCGAAAGCGUGGGGAGCGAACAGGAUUAGAAACCCUUGUAGUCC